rnacentral:rRNA from 1 species
GAACUUGGCGGCGUGCUAAUACAUGCAAGUCGAACGCUUCUUUUCCCACCGGAGCUUGCUCCACCGGGAAAAGAGGAGUGGCGAACGGGUGAGUAACACGUGGGUAACCUGCCCAUCAGAAGGGGAUAACACUUGGAAACAGGUGCUAAUACCGUAUAACAAUCGAAACCGCAUGGUUUCGUUUUGAAAGGCGCUUUACGGUGCCGCUGAUGGAUGGACCCGCGGUGCAUUAGCUAGUUGGUGAGGUAACGGCUCACCAAGGCCACGAUGCAUAGCCGACCUGAGAGGGUGAUCGGCCACAUUGGGACUGAGACACGGCCCAAACUCCUACGGGAGGCAGCAGUAGGGAAUCUUCGGCAAUGGACGAAAGUCUGACCGAGCAACGCCGCGUGAGUGAAGAAGGUUUUCGGAUCGUAAAACUCUGUUGUUAGAGAAGAACAAGGGUGAGAGUAACUGUUCACCCCUUGACGGUAUCUAACCAGAAAGCCACGGCUAACUACGUGCCAGCAGCCGCGGUAAUACGUAGGUGGCAAGCGUUGUCCGGAUUUAUUGGGCGUAAAGCGAGCGCAGGCGGUUUCUUAAGUCUGAUGUGAAAGCCCCCGGCUCAACCGGGGAGGGUCAUUGGAAACUGGGAGACUUGAGUGCAGAAGAGGAGAGUGGAAUUCCAUGUGUAGCGGUGAAAUGCGUAGAUAUAUGGAGGAACACCAGUGGCGAAGGCGGCUCUCUGGUCUGUAACUGACGCUGAGGCUCGAAAGCGUGGGGAGCAAACAGGAUUAGAUACCCUGGUAGUCCACGCCGUAAACGAUGAGUGCUAAGUGUUGGAGGGUUUCCGCCCUUCAGUGCUGCAGCUAACGCAUUAAGCACUCCGCCUGGGGAGUACGACCGCAAGGUUGAAACUCAAAGGAAUUGACGGGGGCCCGCACAAGCGGUGGAGCAUGUGGUUUAAUUCGAAGCAACGCGAAGAACCUUACCAGGUCUUGACAUCCUUUGACCACUCUAGAGAUAGAGCUUCCCCUUCGGGGGCAAAGUGACAGGUGGUGCAUGGUUGUCGUCAGCUCGUGUCGUGAGAUGUUGGGUUAAGUCCCGCAACGAGCGCAACCCUUAUUGUUAGUUGCCAUCAUUUAGUUGGGCACUCUAGCAAGACUGCCGGUGACAAACCGGAGGAAGGUGGGGAUGACGUCAAAUCAUCAUGCCCCUUAUGACCUGGGCUACACACGUGCUACAAUGGGAAGUACAACGAGUCGCGAAGUCGCGAGGCUAAGCUAAUCUCUUAAAGCUUCUCUCAGUUCGGAUUGUAGGCUGCAACUCGCCUACAUGAAGCCGGAAUCGCUAGUAAUCGCGGAUCAGCACGCCGCGGUGAAUACGUUCCCGGGCCUUGUACACACCGCCCGUCACACCACGAGAGUUUGUAACACCCGAAGUCGGUGAGGUAACCUUUAUGGAGCCAGCCGCCUAAGGGGGAAAGGGUU